rnacentral:lncRNA from 1 species
AACCUUAAUUUAAUUCUAGUUAAAACCCUAUUGAAUUUCACUCAAACUUUAGACCAAACCUAAUUAAAUCUUAACCCCUAAUAAAUCCUAAACACUAAGUCAAAUCCUAAACAAACCUUAAAUUAAACCCUAAAUCAAACCCUAUUUCAAACCCUAAACCCUAAACCAAACUCUAAAUCAAACCCUAAAUCAAACCCCAAAAAUCCUAAUCCAAACUCUAAUCCAACCUUAAAUCCUAAUUCAAACCCUAAACUCUAAACCAAACUCUAAUCCAACCCUAAAUCUUAAUCCAAAUCCUAAACCCUAAACCAAACCUUGAAUCAAAUCCUAAUCCAAAUCCUAAAUCAAACCCUAACCAAAUCCUAAACCCUAAUCCAAAUCCUAAAUCAAACCCUAACCAAAUCCUAAACCCUAAUCCAAAUCCUAAAUCAAACCUUAACCAAAUCCUAAACCCUAAUCCAAAUCCUAAUCCAAACCCUAAAUCAAACCCUAACCAAAUCCUAAAUCCUAACCUAAAUCCUAAUCCAAUCCUAAAUCCUAACCAAAUCCUAAAUCCUAAUCCAAACCCUAAUCCAAAUCCUAAAUCAAAUCCUAACCAAACUCUAAUCCAAAUCCUAAAUCAAACCCUAACCAAACUCUAAACCCUAAUCCAAAUCCUAAUCCAAACCCUAAUCCAAAUCCUAAACUCUAAAUCAAACUCUAAAUCGAACCCUAGCCAAACCCAAAUCCAAAUCCUAGUAAUUCCUAUGACAGAUUUAAACCUCAAUAUCUAAUGAAUAAACCGUUGAUCUCAAUUCAAAAUUUUCAUACUUCUUAAAAAUCAAGUUUAAAACAAGUACAAAAAAAUUUGAAAAGGAUCGGAGUUACCAAAUUAAUGAAAACCUCAAAAAUGUGUUCGGGUGUUAGACGGCCUCCUUCUCCAAUCUUGAUGCCAAUCUUCCAGAGCCAAUUUCUCUUCUUUGCAUUGUUUGAUUGGUUUCAAAUUUCUCAUAGAUAUAGAAAACCAAGUCUAAUACCCUCUCACAUAAGUUUUACUCCAAUCUAACUAGUGGAUUGCAUGAAAUCUUAAAAACCCUCACUAGACCUAAAAUUCUACUUUCUGAGAC